rnacentral:rRNA from 1 species
UAGCGGGAAGAGCUUGCUCUUUGCCGACGAGCGGCGGACGGGUGCGUAACACGUAGGAAUCUGCCUGGUAGUGGGGGAUAGCCCGGAGAAAUCCGGAUUAAUACCGCAUACGCCCUAAGGGGGAAAGGAGGGGACUCUUCGGAGCCUUUCGCUAUCAGAUGAGCCUGCGUCGGAUUAGCUGGUUGGUGGGGUAAAGGCCUACCAAGGCGACGAUCCGUAGCUGGUCUGAGAGGAUGAUCAGCCACACUGGGACUGAGACACGGCCCAGACUCCUACGGGAGGCAGCAGUGGGGAAUAUUGCACAAUGGGCGAAAGCCUGAUGCAGCCAUGCCGCGUGUGUGAAGAAGGCCCUAGGGUUGUAAAGCACUUUCAGUAGGGAGGAAAGGCUGGAGGUUAAUACCCUUCAGCUGUGACGUUACCCACAGAAGAAGCACCGGCUAACUCCGUGCCAGCAGCCGCGGUAAUACGGAGGGUGCGAGCGUUAAUCGGAAUUACUGGGCGUAAAGCGUGCGUAGGCGGCUACCUAAGUUGGAUGUGAAAGCCCCGGGCCCAACCUGGGAACUGCAUCCAAAACUGGGUGGCUAGAGUGCGAGAGAGGAGUGUGGAAUUUCCUGUGUAGCGGUGAAAUGCGUAGAUAUAGGAAGGAACACCAGUGGCGAAGGCGACACUCUGGCUUGACACUGACGCUGAGGUACGAAAGCGUGGGGAGCAAACAGGA